UUUUUUUUUUUUUUUUUAUCUUGCUAGGCAACACUCCACCUCACUUUCUGCAGUAUUACUAAACACUCAGGAUUUGGGCAUGGAGGACACAUAAACAUCCGUACUAAGAACCUGUGGAACAUGUGGUCCGGUUGUUAACCAGAUAUUGCUGUUGUUUGCACAACCGAGCUCUUGCAUCUAGAAGACCCUCAGACAUCUUUGGAAGGUUGUAUCCAUCACUCUCUAUACUUUUCUGAUUCUGUUUCACAGAACAUAUGCACAAAAAAUAAAGUCCUGAAUGCCAUUGUGAAAGAGGCAGUGUCACAUAUUCAACAAUUCCCAUUUCCUUUUUUGGGAGGCAGGUAGCUGGAUAUAUUUCUCAAUUUUCCCCAAAGUGAGAUAGGGCCAUAUGACUGAGUGCCAAGAAAAUGUAAGCAAAAAUUAAAUAUGAUCAGAUCUGGUGCUUCAUUUUCCUAAGGAUGUCAUUCACUUAUCCCCUCUCCUUCCUUUUCCCCUCCCCCUCCUUUCUCUCUCCUCCUUCCUUCUUCCUUUGUUCUUUCCCUUCUGGGAACAUCUAUGAGACCCUGAGGCAUGGCAGAACCUAGGUUCCUGACUGACUUUGAACAAAGUACCUAUGAAACUUGCCUUGGACUCUAACAUGAGAAAGUAAGAAAUGCUAUUUGUAUUAAUCCAGUGCAAUUUGAGAGUCAUUUAUCACAGCAGUUAUCAACUCUGAUUUACUUUGGAAUGAUGGUUUCUCUUUUAUAGAUAAUUUCACCAGUACUGAAAAUAAUUAGCCACAAAGUUAAUUAUUUUUCUACCAUAUUAAAAUAUGUUUUCACAUAUAAGAUAAAAUUAACUAUGUUCUACCAUUUUCCUUAGCCAUCUACAUUUGGUCUUUAUGUAAUUUAAAGACCAAAUCUACUUUGCCCAAUAUGGAGCAGUACACAAAUUAAGAAUAAAGAUGCACUUUCUGAUGUGAUGUGUGUGUAUAUAUACACAUUAUAAUAUAUAAAUAUAAACAAAUUUAGUUAAAGUUUCUGGGAGAAAGUAGUUAUUUAGCCUGGAAUUCCUGCUUGGUGGGUGGAGAUGGGCCAUGGGUAUCAUGAGAGUUCAUCUUUAAUAGCUGCUUUUCUCAUGUCUCUUUUCUUCCACUGAGUGAGAAGAGUUUCUUUGGGUAAUGUCUGCAAAGCAGGUGGUUUGGUUGCUACACAUCCACACACAUCCUUAUAGUGAUCAUCUCAGUGGGUGCUCCAUCAGGAAAUUAAAAUAGGGUGCCAGUGAAACUGAAGGAUUCCUUCCAUGCUCAACCUUUUCCUGGUGCCUUGGAGAACCGCCUACAGUUCCACAAAACAAAAGCGUGCUUUGCACAGGUGCUAUUUGAAUGAGGGCACAAGGCAGUUUAAGCUCCUUAGAGCAAAGUUCAAGAAGACUGCACAGCAUGUGUUUUGGUGCCAUCUCCAGAGAACUCUGGGACCUCUAUCCUUAGGGACUCAGCAUUAGGGCCAGUAGAAUGUUUGUCAUGAAGGAAAGAAGAGGAGAGUCAAUGGGCAGUGGAUUAUAAUUUACUUGGUUAAGGUGUUAUGAAUCUGAGAUUUUCAUUCUUAAAAACAUUGAUUCUUCAUAAUUCCUUACCUUGGUAACCUUAUUGAAGCUGUAAUGGGUAUGUGGCUGCCAUCAGUAACUUCAAAAUGUAUUUAUACUUUUUGUUAUGAAAUCCAUGCUCAGCAAUCUUAUCUAAAUUAGUAGGGACAUCCUGUACCUGGGUACCCUCUAAAUUGAUCUUUAUAUUUUAUCAUUUUCCAGUAAUAUUCAUUGCAUAUUUUAAACUUAACCGAAUGUGCUUAUAGCUUCUGUAGACCACUUGAUACAAAAAGGAAUGGCAAAGUUUAUCUAAAGUUACACAAUAGCAGAAAUGAGAGAAUUUGGAAACUUCGACUGUUACUGAAUUCUAUUUCUCAGGUUGUUUAUAUUUUCAACAUGUUUUUCCAUAUCCUCUUUGUCCUAGAUAUAUUCCCUCGCCCCUCUGACCCUAUGCUUUCCAUGCAUCAUCUUGCUCUAGUCCUUGGAAAUUGACCUAGCGGGGCUACAUUGGUGGGCUUCCUGGCCUCUGAAUUCCUUUACUUUUAAUCACUGUGGAGGACGGGCAAGAACACAGGAAGGGACUUCCUGUUUCCCUCCAAGGAAGGCUGGAGCUCCUAAGAAUUUGUUCUCUCACACAGCUCUUUCUGUCUCUGGGUUUCCAGAACACUCACUCCCCUCAUGUCUUCAGGUGCUCGCACUUGACUAUGCCUUGAUCUCUAUCCCUCUUACAUUUGCAGACAGUCUCUUUAUUAUUUUCCCAACAAAUCCUAAUUGGGUCAUGCCAUUUAUUUGCCUCAGAGAUGCUGCUGGAUCUGCCAUCUUACUUGAUGUUUAUGACAAUUUUAUCAAAUUUGCUGUAUUUUAUAAUAGAAAAAUUUGAUACACAGAAAAAGAAAACAAUUUGCUCAAGGUCACAAAACUAGUCAGUGGUUAGAAUUCAGUAACUUUGACUCUUAUUACAGCAUUUCUUCCACACUCCUGCAGUGCCUCCAUUUACUACAAUUAUUUAAUCAUGUUAACCAUAUUAGACUGAAUGAAUGUUGAACUAGUUAUCACCUUCUAUUAUAUUUUUCAAGUAAAGAUCAGGCAUUGAAAGAGAGCUCUUUUAAAUGAAAAUCAUUGAUGCAAAUCUGUUAUGGUAAUGUGGAUGUUAAUCACAGUAAUUUUUAAAAGAGCGGAUGUUUUAUAAUGGCGUAAUUAACAAUCAUAGGAGAUCAUCACAACAUGGAUCUCUUCAAGUAUCUUCAAUAUCAAAAAUUUGGUAUACCAAGCAUUCACAAACACCCUAUGUGAUGGAAAAGUAAUUGGCCCAAUAGUUUGGUCAUAAAUUUUGAAUGAGCAAUUGACCCAUCUUCAGAGGACAGAAGAUUUGACACUGCCAGUCCUUGUGUGGAAAAUCAUUAGGGUUUGAACAGUAACAUAUCCAAUUAUCAAAACAAAAACAAAAACCAAAAAAUCCCCCAAAACAAACCCACCAAGACCACAAACAAAAACUUAGCUGGAUGUAGCAAGCGGUCUGAAAGAAACCAAAAAGAAGGUACUCCAUAUAGUAUCUUAGUUCAGGUUUUCUGAGGUUUUUUUUAUUGUAAUCAUUCAUCAAGAGGUGUUAAGAAUGUUGUUCCUGUUCCUUCUAGGAACAGAUGUUCUGAAUAUGGAGCUAGAUGGCACAUUUUUUUUUUCCCUAAGGUCAGUUCUGUCACUAUGACAGUGGUAUUUGGCAACCCAGCCAAAUGUCUGAUAAAUGAAUGUAGAGACUAUUUUUCUACCUAUAUUACAGAUCCAUCUACUGUGUCAAAAUUAAAAUAAAUGUUAAAUAAAGUGAAGAAUUAGGAAAGGGAACAUCCCCCCUUGACAGCUUUUUAUUUGCUAUUUCUGCUCUGUGACAAAACUGAGUUGAUAUGUGAUCUUCUGUGAUUUACAAAGCCCUUGCAUUCCACCUUGCAAUGGCUGCAGUGCUGUUGAGCUGCCUUGAGAUGAUUUACUGCCAUUUGUCACUUUUUGAAACUGUUCCAAAAUAGUCUGCUGACAUGUACUAAAGAGCUUUCAAUGAAAUCUGAAAUGGUUCAUUUGUUAUGUCAACUGGAAACAUUAAGUGAUAUCUAAAAAUCACUUUAAGAUUUAUUGAGUGAUUUAAAAUAUCCUUUAAUGGCAAUUUGGUAUAUCACAAAAGCAAUAUUGUCCUGGAAAGCAUGAGGAAAUCUUUUCAUCACAUCUUAAAAGUAUUUAUAUUAUGUUCUGAAUUUAACUGC
rnacentral:lncRNA from 9 species